rnacentral:tmRNA from 1 species
GGGGGCGUAAGGGCUCGACGGGGUUUUUACAGUCGAUCUGCAGCAUGCCGAGAUCCCCGCAGUCUCGAAAAACGGCGGGAACACAAGUUAAGUGCAAACAACGAACUAGCUCUCGCGGCUUAAUUCCGCGACAUCCGCCGGACUUUUGCCGGUCAGGUACGGGUCGGGUGACGCUCGAUCGGAUGCCGCGCUCCGAUACCCGGUAAGGGCGCGAAAGAAACUCCGGGACGUGGAACGCCGAAACCCGGUCCACAGGGGGUUGGCGGUCCGAGAUCAAAUAGUGGACUAAGCAUGUAGACGCGGGCCGGUUGGAUUCUUCGGACGCGGGUUCAAUUCCCGCCGCCUCCA